GGACUACACGGGUUUCUAAUCCUGUUUGCUCCCCACGCUUUCGCGUCUCAGCGUCAGUAACGUCCCAGCGAGCUGCCUUCGCCAUUGGUGUUCCUCCCGAUAUCUGCGCAUUCCACCGCUACACCAGGAAUUCUACUCGCCUCUUCCGGACUCGAGCCCGGCAGUAUCCAUCGGCUUUCAAAGGUUGAGCCUUUGACUUUUACAACGGACUUACCGGGCCGCCUACGCGCGCUUUACGCCCAAUGAUUCCGGACAACGCUUGCCCCCUACGUAUUACCGCGGCUGCUGGCACCU
rnacentral:misc_RNA from 1 species